GACGAACGCUGGCGGCGUGCUUAACACAUGCAAGUCGAACGGAAAGGCCCUGCUUGCAGGGUACUCGAGUGGAGAACGGGUGAGUAACACGUGGGUGAUCUGCCCUGCACUUCGGGAUAAGCCUGGGAAACUGGGUCUAAUACCGGAUAGGAGCCAUUUUUAGUGUGAUGGUUGGAAAGUUUUUUCGGUGUAGGAUGAGCUCGCGGCCUAUCAGCUUGUUGGUGGGGUAAUGGCCUACCAAGUCGGCGACGGGUAGCCGGCCUGAGAGGGUGGACGGCCAAAUUGGGACUGAGAUACGGCCCAGCCUCCUACGGGAGGAAACAGAGAGGAAUAAUGCACAAUGGGGGCAAGACUGAUGCAGCGAGGCCGCGUGGGGGAUGACGGACUUCGGGUUGUAAACUCCUUUCGAUAGGGACGAAGCUUUUUGUGACGGUACCUAAAAAAGAAGCACCGGCUAAAUACGUG
rnacentral:rRNA from 1 species